AUAGUAGUAUUAAGAUAUCGCUUUGAUGUUCUAGACUAGUGGGCCCGAAAUAGAGUGUCCCCCAAAACACUAAUGUGUAUACCAAGUUUCAUAAUCUAUACUAUAUUAGUGCUGACUGUAGUAAUAACGGUGAUUUGAAAUUUCAAGACGAAUGCAUUUUAGUUUAAAAUGAUUACAAUUGGUUCGUUAUCGGUUUCAUAAAAAAUAUCAUAAACAUUGACCACGGUCCGGU